rnacentral:rRNA from 1 species
UCCAGGUCGGUUUCUAUCUAUGUACACGCCUCACCUAGUACGAAAGGAGCGGUGAAGCAGAGCCAAUACUACAAGCACGCUUUAACAUAAAAUUAACCCCUUAAUAUAAAACAACCCACUCUAAACCAAGAAAAGGUUAAUUAAGAACCACCUUAAUAUGU